CAGCUAAGGGAGGGGGGUCAGCAACUGAAACUGCGCAUGCUCCAUGCGAGCCCCGCUGGGGGACGGACAAUAAAGCUGCUGCUGCCACUUCAGUGUUAGCUGGGCUGCAGAAUGAUGUCCAUGUUUUUCUCCAGCUCAUCCCAUCUUCCCAUGACACAGGGAAGAAAAAUGGCUGCAGUGGAGCCAGCCCAGGGGCCGGUAACCUUCGAGGAGGUGGCUGUGUAUUUCACCAG